UUGAACGCUGGCGGCCUGCCUUACACAUGCCAGUCGCACGGCAGCACGGGUGCUUGCCCCUGGUGGCGAGUGGCGAACGGGUGAGUAAUACAUCGGAACAUGUCCUGUAGUGGGGAAUAGCCCGGCGAAAGCCGGAUUAAUACCGCAUACGAUCUACGGAUGAAAGCGGGGGACCUUCGGGCCUCGCGCUAUAGGGUUGGCCGAUGGCUGAUUAGCUAGUUGGUGGGGUAAAGGCCUACCAAGGCGACGAUCAGUAGCUGGUCUGAGAGGACGACCAGCCACACUGGGACUGAGACACGGCCCAGACUCCUACGGGAGGCAGCAGUGGGGAAUUUUGGACAAUGGGCGAAAGCCUGAUCCAGCAAUGCCGCGUGUGUGAAGAAGGCCUUCGGGUUGUAAAGCACUUUUGUCCGGAAAGAAAUCCUUGGCCCUAAUACGGUCGGGGGAUGACGGUACCGGAAGAAUAAGCACCGGCUAACUACGUG
rnacentral:rRNA from 1 species